rfam:Glycine max cultivar Williams 82 chromosome 13, whole genome shotgun sequence.
GGUCUAUUAGUUCAGUUGAUUAGAAUAUCAUACUAAUAAUGUGAAAAUCAUAGGUUCAAUUCUUGUUUGGGCCA